GCGAACGCUGGCGGCAGGCUUCACACCUGCCAGUCGAGCGGGCCCUUCGGGGUCAGCGGCGGACGGGUGAGUAACGCGUGGGAACGUGCCUUCUGGUCUGGAAUAACCCUGGGAAACUAGGGCUAAUACCGGAUACGCCCUUUUGGGGAAAGGUUUACUGCCGGAAGAUCGGCCCGCGUCUGAUUAGCUAGUUGGUGGGGUAACGGCCUACCAAGGCGACGAUCAGUAGCUGGUCUGAGAGGAUGAUCAGCCACACUGGGACUGAGACACGGCCCAGACUCCUACGGGAGGCAGCAGUGGGGAAUAUUGGACAAUGGGCGCAAGCCUGAUCCAGCCAUGCCGCGUGAGUGAUGAAGGCCUUAGGGUUGUAAAGCUCUUUUAUCCGGGACGAUAAUGACGGUACCGGAGGAAUAAGCCCCGGCUAACUUCGUG
rnacentral:rRNA from 1 species